CGUAGUCAGAGCGACGGAAAUGUUUCACAUGUGUUCCGCGUGUAUACAUCACAUCCAUGGUAUGGUUAUAUUGUGGAAAAGUUUGAUGGAGAGACUCCUGUAAGCCAACAAACGUUAUGGUAAUGGAGCCCAACGACUGUUGCCGUUUUUGCGAAAAGAAUAUGAGAAUUGCGGGCGUGCUUACACAUUCAUCAAGCAUCUUCGAAAAACAGAAGAAACCCCAAAGUAUUGCCGAGAGACUACUGCAUGUUGGAGUGGCGGUUGUUAAAACACCGGCAAAGUCGAACAGAAUUUGUCAGCGGUGUCUCACCCUUUUAUCGAGACUUGAACGUGACCUGCCGGUGUACUGGAGAUGGGUGGAGGAUGAAGAGAACGAGGAAGCCUCCGCAGUAGAAACGAUGACAGGUCGUUCAGGUAAACGAGACCGUGAGCGUGAGCCUACUCCGUCGAAGACACCCAGGGCCUUGAAAAAGUUCUGCCAUAACCCUGCAAGUCCUGGGACAGCUAAUAUUCGACGCAGCAUCACCGGGUAUUUUGUGUGUCCAAACCACAGGAAGACGUCAAAGCGGGAUGUGCUGCAGAAUUGAGGCUCAAAGAGGAAGAAUCAAUCCCGACUUCGCGAUAUCCAAGUGUAAAAUCAGAAACUGGCACCGCUGACAGUUCCUGUCGAAUUUUGCCUCCUGUAAGACACGUCGCCUCCCAGACUGACCCCUCAAAGAAAACAUUCGACACACACCUAUCUAUGCAAACUCUGCAGAAUCAAUUUCGAAGUAAAGCUACCCAGGUGAAGAUGCCCAGCAGAGAUUGCGGUGUGGGCACCGUCACCUUCCCCUUGGACAGUCCACUACUGCUCCUACAACCAACAUUAGUAAAGAGACCAUCCAAGAGACCUCGACUCAGCCUUACAGACGAGGAGGAAGGCCCUUCAGAAUCCAGCUCGUCUGUGGCCGUUCAUGAACCAGAGGACUCAAACAUGACUCUGUGGACUCAGUCACUGUCGUGGGUAAAAUGAACAUGAUCAGGGUCAAACAAAGAGUCAAAGAAUUGAUUGAAAACUUUUGGAUUAAAGCAGACACUCAGAAAGCGUAUGGGACAAAUUGGGAGCUUCUAAAAUAUGAGUUGGGGAAGUUUCUCAGGAAGUUUGGUGGUGAUUUGGCAGUUGAAGACGAGGUUAUUGAGCAGCUAGCGUUUCUUUCUCAACAAGAGUAUCUAAUGAUGAAAGAUGUGAAUAUAAGAAAUUACAAAAUAAAUUAAUGACAUUUAUAAAUCAAAAGCUAAGGGAGCCUACAUAAGGUCAAGAAAACGAUGGAUGGAAGAGGGUGAACAAAAUUCAGCCUACCUCUUUACACUUGAAAAGAGUAAAAAUGUACUGGCUACUGUAGAUCAAUUAAAGUGGAGGGAAAAAUUAUUGAAGAUCCAAGAGACUUAGCCGUCCACUGCUAUAAUUUCUAUAACAAUCUAUACGCAUCUAAUUACUGCGAGGGAACAACUAAAUCAUGUAUGGACUCUUAUCUUGUAGAAUUAUAUCCCCAGAAGAUAGACUACUGUGAUGAUAGCAUAUUCCAGGAGGAGUUGAAGGCGAUUUAAAAAAUCUCAAAAACAACAAAGGCCCAGGGUGUGAUGGUAUAACUGCUGAAUUGUACAAAAUGUUUGAUGAAUUACUAACUCCCUUUCUGGUAAAAGUCUCUAAGCUCUCAGAGAGCUUAGAGAAAGAAGCUCUCCCAACAACUAUGACGCAGGGUGUCAUCACAUUGAUUCCGAAACCAGACAAGGACAGAAACUGUCUAGAGAAUUGGCGUCGGCUAUCACUCUCUUAAUUAACGAUUACAAAAUGUUUGCACUAGUUUUCGCUAAUAAAUUUAAAGAAGUGUUAGACUCUAUUAUAGAUGAAUCACAAUCUGGGUUCAUGAGGAAAUGACAUAUUGCAAAUUGCAAAUAAUAUUAGAUUAGUGCUGGAUUUAUUGGAUUAUAAUGAGUUUAUCAUUGACAACAGCUUCAUUCUGUUCCUUGAUUUUUAUAAAGGCAUUUGACUCGCUUUAA